rnacentral:rRNA from 1 species
UAAAGAAAGUAAGAAAGGGCGUAUGGCGGAUGCCUAGGCUCACGGAGGCGAUGAAGGACGUGAUAAGCUGCGAUAAGCUUCGGGUAGGUGCAAAUAACCCUUGAUCCGGAGAUUUCCGAAUGGGACAACCUAGCCGUCUGAAGGACGGUUACUAGCACUUAAGUGUUAGAGCUAACGCAGGGAACUGAAACAUCUUAGUACCUGCAGGAAGAGAAAAUAAAUGAAUGAUUCCCCCAGUAGUGGCGAGCGAACGGGGAACAGCCCAAACCAGUGGCGUCGCAAGGCGUGGCUGGGGUUGUAGGACCGCAACAUUGUAUGCAAAUCGUGAACAGAACACUUUGGAAAAUGUGACCAUAGACGGUGAUAGUCCAGUAUGUGAAGCGAAAUGCAGCAUAGCGGUAUCCUGAGUAACGCGGGACACGAGGAAUCCUGCGCGAAUCUGCCGGGACCAUCCGGUAAGGCUAAAUACUCCCGUGAGACCGAUAGCGAACGAGUACUGUGAAGGAAAGGUGAAAAGAACCCCGAGUAGGGGAGUGAAAUAGUUCCUGAAACCAUACGCCUACAAGCGGUCGGAGCAUCUUACGAUGUGACGGCGUGCCUUUUGCAUAAUGAUCCUACGAGUUACCGUCACUGGCGAGGUUGAGUGUCAUGAGACACGUAGCCGCAGUGAAAGCGAGCCUGAACAGGGCGCACAGUCAGUGGGGGUAGACGCGAAACCAAGUGAUCUACACUUGGCCAGGAUGAAGUCCCGGUAACACGGGAUGGAGGUCCGCACCAAUAAGCGUUGAAAAGCUUCUGGAUGAGCCGAGUGUAGGAGUGAAAGGCCAAUCAAACUUGGAGAUAGCUCGUACUCCCCGAAAGGCAUUUAGGUGCCGCGUCGGAUGGUCACCGUGAGAGGUAGAGCGACCGAUAGGACAAGAGGGCUUCACCGCCUAUCGAGUCCUGACGAACUCCGAAUGUUCACGGUUUGCAGUCCGGCAGUAAGGGGGCGGGUGCUAAGGUCCGUCCCCGAGAGGAGAAGAAUCCAGACCGCCGUCUAAGGUCCCGGAGUUCUGCCUGAGUUAGUCUAACGAAGUCUGGUCCCUAUGACAGCUAGGAUGUUGGCUUGGAAGCAGCCAUUCAUUCAAAGAGUGCGUAACAGCUCACUAGUCGAGGGUCCGGGCAUGGAUAAUAAUCGGGUAUAAGGCAGACACCGAAGGCGCGGGAUAGCAAUUAUAAAAGUAUCGGUAGGGAGCAUACUCACAGCGUCGAAUGGUGUACGUAAGUUAUCCUGGAGCGGUGAGUAAAGCAAAUGUAGGAAUAAGUAACGAUAAGGAGGGUUAGAUUCCCUCCCGCUGUAAGACCAAGGUUUCCCGGGCAAUGCCAAUCAGCCCGGGGUCAGUCGGGUCCUAAGUCUAAGCCGAACGGCGAUGGCGAUGGCAGAGACGGUUAAUAUUCCGUCACUGCCGCAUGGGGCGAUGUGGAGACGGAGCAGUGAAACCACCGCGGGCGACGGAAGUCCCCGUUGAAGAGUGUAGGUGUUGAGGAUGGCAGGCAAAUCCACCAUCCGAGCUGAACUUGACAGUACGGAGUCCUCCUCGGAGGAAUCUGAUAGUGUGGGUAAACAUACUCCCGAGAAAAUCCGCUAAGCUUAACCCAUGCGGCACCCGUACCGCAAACGGACACACGUGGUCGGGUAGAACAUACUAAGGCGUUGAGAGAUUCAUGGUUAAGGAACUAGGCAAAUUGACCCUGUAACUUCGGGAUAAAGGGUCCUCGUGAUGAGCGAGGCGCAGAGAAUAGGUCCAGGCAACUGUUUAACAAAAACACAGGGCUGUGCAAACUCGAAAGAUGACGUAUACAGCCUGACACCUGCCCGGUGCCGGAAGGUUAAGAGGAGAUGUCACUAGCAAUAGGAAGCAUUGAAUUGAAGCCCCGGUAAACGGCGGCCGUAACUAUAACGGUCCUAAGGUAGCGAAAUUCCUUGUCGGGUAAGUUCCGACCUGCACGAAUGGUGUAAUGAUCCGGACGCUGUCUCAACCAUGAGCUCAGUGAAAUUGUAGUAUCGGUGAAGAUGCCGAUUACCCGCGAUGGGACGAAAAGACCCCGUGAACCUUUACUACAGCUUAGCAUUGACCUUGGUCAUCCGAUGUGUAGGAUAGGCCGGAGGCUUCGAAGCGGGAGCGCCAGCUUUCGUGGAGCCAUCCUUGAAAUACGGCCCUUUGGCUGUCUGAGGUCUAACGCGCGAUGCGCGGACACUGCUUGGUGGGUAGUUUGACUGGGGUGGUCGCCUCCAAAAGCGUAACGGAGGCUUCCAAAGGUGCCCUCGGGUCGAUUGGUAACCGACCUCAAAGAGUGCAAUGGCAUAAGGGCGCUUGACUGGGAGGCAGACAUGCCGAGCAGGCAGGAAACUGGGGCAUAGUGAUCCGGCGGAUGUGUAUGGAAACUCCGUCGCUCAAAGGAUAAAAGGUACUCCGGGGAUAACAGGCUGAUCCCCCCCAAGAGCUCAUAUCGACGGGGUGGUUUGGCACCUCGAUGUCGGCUCGUCACAUCCUGGGGCUGGAGAAGGUCCCAAGGGUUGGGCUGUUCGCCCAUUAAAGUGGCACGCGAGCUGGGUUCAGAACGUCGUGAGACAGUUCGGUCUCUAUCUAUCGUGGGCGUGGGAGUUUUGAGUGGUGCCGUCACUAGUACGAGAGGACCGUGAUGGACAGACCUCCGGUUUACCAGUUGUGCCGCCAGGCGCACCGCUGGGUAUCUGAGUCUGGAUUGGAUAAGCGCUGAAAGCAUCUAAGUGCGAAGCCAGCCGCAAGAUGAGAACUCCAUUGAGGGUCGUCAGAGACGAUGACGUUGAUAGGAUGCAGGUGUAAAGACAGCGAUGUCAAAGCCGAGCAUUACUAAUUGCCCGAACACUUUCUUUA